GGAUCCUUAGCUCAGUGAGUAGAGCAUCCGCCUCAUAAGCGGACGGUCCCGGGUUCAAGUCCCGGAGGAUCCA
rnacentral:tRNA from 1 species